rnacentral:rRNA from 1 species
CCAGUUCUAGGAGCUUGCUCUUAUGAGUUAGCGGCGGACGGGUGAGUAACACGUGGGUAACCUGCCCAUAAGACUGGGAUAACUCCGGGAAACCGGGGCUAAUACCGGAUAACAUUUUGAACCGCAUGGUUCGAAAUUGAAAGGCGGCUUCGGCUGUCACUUAUGGAUGGACCCGCGUCGCAUUAGCUAGUUGGUGAGGUAACGGCUCACCAAGGCAACGAUGCGUAGCCGACCUGAGAGGGUGAUCGGCCACACUGGGACUGAGACACGGCCCAGACUCCUACGGGAGGCAGCAGUAGGGAAUCUUCCGCAAUGGACGAAAGUCUGACGGAGCAACGCCGCGUGAGUGAUGAAGGCUUUCGGGUCGUAAAACUCUGUUGUUAGGGAAGAACAAGUGCUAGUUGAAUAAGCUGGCACCUUGACGGUACCUAACCAGAAAGCCACGGCUAACUACGUGCCAGCAGCCGCGGUAAUACGUAGGUGGCAAGCGUUAUCCGGAAUUAUUGGGCGUAAAAGCGCGCGCAGGUGGUUUCUUAAGUCUGAUGUGAAAGCCCACGGCUCAACCGUGGGAGGGUCAUUGGAAAACUGGGGAGACUUGAGUGCACAACAGGAAAGUGGGAAUUUCCCAUGUGU